GAGAAGAUUGUUUUACACAGGCGCUCCACCCAUACUGGCAGAGAAACAGGGCUUAUUGGCACAGGGAAGGACUAGUUGGUGGUCAGCUCUCCUUGGAGCAAGUCUGACUGAAAAGGCUGGAAGCACUUGCGGAGGUCUUUAAAUUCAGCAGAUGAAAAUCUCUUUCCUCCAGAAAAUACAC
rnacentral:lncRNA from 1 species